GUAGGUGGCAAGCGUUGUCCGGAAUUAUUGGGCGUAAGGCGCGCGCAGGCGGUCCUUUAAGUCUGAUGUGAAAGCCCACGGCUCAACCGUGGAGGGUCAUUGGAAACUGGGGGACUUGAGUGCAGAAGAGAAGAGUGGAAUUCCACGUGUAGCGGUGAAAUGCGUAGAGAUGUGGAGGAACACCAGUGGCGAAGGCGACUCUUUGGUCUGUAACUGACGCUGAGGCGCGAAAGCGUGGGGAGCAAACAGGAUUAGAUACCCUGGUAGUCCACGCCGUAAACGAUGAGUGCUAAGUGUUAGAGGGUUUCCGCCCUUUAGUGCUGCAGCAAACGCAUUAAGCACUCCGCCUGGGAGUACGGCCGCAAGGCUG
rnacentral:rRNA from 1 species